rnacentral:miRNA from 10 species
GUGUGUGUGUGUGUGUGUGUGUGUGUGUGUGUGUGUGUGUGUGUGUGUGUGUGUGUGUGUGUGAAUGUGUGUGUGUGUGUGUGUGCAUGCACAUGUGUGUAAGUGUGUGUAUA